UACGUAGGGCGCAAGCGUUAUCCGGAAUUAUUGGGCGUAAAGAGCUCGUAGGCGGUGUGUCACGUCGGCCGUGAAAACCUGCAGCUUAACUGUGGGCGUGCGGUCGAUACGGGCAUCACUGGAGUUCGGCAGGGGAGACUGGAAUUCCUGGUGUAGCGGUGAAAUGCGCAGAUAUCAGGAGGAACACCGAUGGCGAAGGCAGGUCUCUGGGCAUUAACUGACGCUGAGGAGCGAAAGCAUGGGAGCAAACGGG
rnacentral:rRNA from 1 species